rnacentral:rRNA from 1 species
CUACGGGAUGCAGCAGUGAGGAAUAUUGCACAAUGGGGGGAACCCUGAUGCAGCAACGCCGCGUGGAGGAUGACGCAUUUCGGUGUGUAAACUCCUUUUAUAUGUCAAGAAAAUGACGGUAGCAUAUGAAUAAGCACCGGCCAACUCCGUGCCAGCAGCCGCGGUAAUACGGAGGGGCAAGCGUUACUCGGAAUCACUGGGCGUAAAGGACGCGUAGGCGGGUUGGAAAGUCAGGUGUGAAAUCCUACAGCUUAACUGUAGAACUGCACUUGAAACUUCUAAUCUAGAGUAUGGGAGGGGGAGAUGGAAUUAGUGGUGUAGGGGUAAAAUCCGUAGAUAUCACUAGGAAUACCUAAAGCGAAGGCGAUCUCCUGGAACAUUACUGACGCUAAGGCGUGAAAGCGUGGGGAGCAAACAGGAUUAGAUACCCGCGUAGUC